UUGGAAAAGGGGAAAAUACUCACCAAAAAAGAGGUAACUUUCACAAUACAAUUCAACAUUUUUACAUUUCAUGAUCAUCGUAUGUAGAAAAAAUGCUAGCUAGAAAGAGUAUACAGAAACCAAUAUGCUUAGAAUGGCAUAUAUGUAGGAGGAGUAGAAUUAAAAUACCAAAAAGUUCAAACAUUUUUUAUUGAGAAAAAAACAGGUUGUAAAUGGUACAUAAAACUUUUUAGCAAAACAGUCAAUACGCCAUUACAUAAUGCAUAUAUUAUAUAUAAAACAAAAGUUCCACUACACAUCAUUUAAAAUUUCGUUUAGAUUUACUCAAAGUCUCACGCGCUGUCCACAAAUUCAAAGUCCAACAGUAGGCUGAAAAUAAAUUUCCAUUCAAAACGAUUAUUAGAACGGCGUUGCAUAGAAAGAAUCCUACCAACAGGUAAAAAAUCAAAACCUCAAGGUAGAUGCGUCGUACGCACUAGAAAUAGUAAGAAAAAAGAAUAUUGGUGUGCAGGCUGCAUAGUGGAACUCUGUUUUUAAUAAAAAUUUUAUUAUUUUAAACAUUUCCAUAAUGUUGCAAGCUUCUGACGCUUAUAUCUUUUCUUAAACAAAUAUAUUAUUGUUGAAUUUAUAUAUAUAUCAUGUGUUUCAUUAGUAUACCUUCACAAUCUGAAAAUUACCAAAAAAGUUUCGUUUUAUAUAAUUUUAAACAAUUCAAAUCCAAAACAAAAAUAACUAAAUUAAUUAGCACCUGAGCGAUAUGGCCAGCGAUUUAUCCGGAUAUAUGGCUAGAAAUUACGCUCACUAAUUCCUAGAACUGUUCACUCGAGACAGACCUACCCAUGAACUGCGUCGAUGUAAUUCAAUUCGGUAUCGAAUUACCGGAAUAAGAAAAAUAUAAUUUUUUAAUUUUUUAUUAUAUUGCUACGACUUGGCCUUAAUCAAAUUCUUUAGAUUCGUACGAUCAAUAUGAUACCAAACAUGACUAUAUUUAACGAAAAAUUGUUAAUUGAACUAAAGAAAUACAUAUGUAAUAUACGGAGUAAGAAAUGACCUAACUCUACAGUAUCUCACUACACUCUACCUAUUCUGACUCACUCAUACUGCCUACUUCUCCCUCUUACCUUCCAUGCACGGUAGAUUCAGUACGAACACUACUAUGCAUACAAAAUUACCAACUUGGGGGGGGGGGGGGGUUAAGACAUUUGUUAACAAAAGUAUUUAUACAUCCUUUAUUAUAUAACAUUUAGGAAUAAAUCAAGCAGAAUUCCGUUCAUUUAGCUCUUUUAUGGUGGAAGCAUAAACGUAGUUCUAUGUCAAACUAAAUUGUCAAACUAGAAUGUAUCUUAUUCGACUUUUUUUCGAAAAGAGCUGACAAAGUGGAUAAAACUAUAUCGUUAUGCAAUCGAUAACAAGAAAUCACUUUGAUUCAAUCGUGAAAAUAAUGGAAACGCAAUCCACGAAAUGCUUAAACCGCAAUGCAUAAGCAUUUAAUAAAAACAUUUAACAAACUACCUCACAAGCCAUGUAUUUUUUAAUUAUGUUAUUCUAGUCACUGUUUACGUAGAAUGACGACAUAAUCGAAUAUGCGUAGAAAGAAACUAAUAGUAAAACUGUUAAAGAAAUAGAUUGUGCAUAUGCGCGAUGCAUAUGUAGUAUACUCUCAGAAUUAUUCAUCUUGUUCUUGUAAUAUUCUUUCUAAUUGGAUUCAGGAAAAAUGUGUGACUUACACAGUCCCCUUUGUACACAAUGGAUUAGAUCUAGUGAGAAACCUUUUAUGUGAAACUAUUUCAACUUCCAGUGACUUAUUAUUCGCGAACAUAAGCUAUUUAUGAGCUGAGAGCGUUAUUACACAAAUCAAUUUAAUCGUCUAAGUGGCUCGACUGGUUUGUAAAUACAUUGUAACCGAGUUUCUGACUCACUAGCGAAGCGUCGAUACAUUGAUACACUGUUUGUUUCUACAUUAUAUAGCAUUGUUCGUUUCGUUUGAUUCAUUAACAUGGAAGAACGUUAUGUAUAAUGAAAUAAUUAGACCGCCUGCGAUAUGUAAAUAAAAUUCUCUUCGUGCAGUUUUAAACACAGUAUCGCACGCCACAAAUUGGUUUUAUCACUUGAAGCAAACAUGUAGAAGAAUAGUAUUACAUUGACGUAAUUAUUAUUAUCAUCGUGCAAUACUUUGAUCCUAUUUUACAAAGGCAAAGGAGCAUUAAGUGAGGUUUUUAUUUUUCUUAUUUUAGUCUUACGUUAUUUAACUUAUGAAAUUGAUUACAACUUAAGAAAUGUUGCUGCAAAUGUUUAUGCAAAUUCCUAUUUGUACGGAUACAAUUCAAGAAACGAAGUCUAAUGACAUUGCUUCAUAUUCGUUGCAAUUAUUGCUAAACUCUAGCAAAUUUUACUUUAUUUAGUAUUUUACAUUAUAAAAUACACAUGAUGCGGAUGAAUUAACGGGUCUAUAAUAAGGCAGCUGAGAAAUAAAGGCAGUGGGAAACAUUCGAUUUAGCAUUACACAGUGUUCGACUACUUAUGGCCACCGGUGUACAUAUAAAUUAGUAUUUUAAACCAGUGGCUCGAGCGAAAAAUUGAAAGCAGCCCUUCGUUUCUUUUGACACCCUAUUAAUAAAUGCACGCUUUCACGAUCAUAAUAUUGUUCGACGAAAUGCAAUUGGCCUGGUACGCAAGUAUGGCACGCAUACUUACUCGGAAAGCGGGUUUCCUUUAUGCAGGCCGUACUGUACUCUCGCAAUGCUUUUACCUCCCACUCAGGGCAUCGAACAAUUCCCACCUCAGAAGAAAGACUGAAUUCAUGAAUGGAAACUCUGAGACCCGACGGUACACCUCCGUGUUUAUGGUGCGAGACGCCGCCCGCGUACGAAAGUUCGCGGAAGAGAAAGUCUUCGAUGACGAUGACAUCAUCGCUACCAUGGUCAUGGUCUCUGCAAUCUGGAUCAGAAGUUCGUGGUAAAAAUUGGAUCGGAAUUUUCCAUGAAUCAACUAACGAUCUCGAAGAUACGUAAGACGAGAUUACUGCUAAAUCGCGAACGAACGGCUGUCGUAUUACGUCUUUGUGACGUUAGAGUAUCGUCAGAGGUACGUGCAUUUGGCGGCAACUGUUGAUCUUACCGAGGAAGGAAUUUAAUUGAGCUCCAAAUAACAAAACGAAUACGUACGUUUGUAUUAUUGCAGCCAGCUAUGAUGAUUUUUUCUGUAUAAUUCUGACAUACACGUAGUGUACAGAAUAAAUGAAUGAGUUAUAGCACCGAUUUGCCUACAUCAUCUGAAGCCCAUUCGCCUGAAGCUUUAGUCACGUUUGUUCAAUCCGUACUUCCUCUCAUCGAUUUUGUAAGUGGAACUAUUGACUAAGCGCUUCCUAAUUGUGGCUAAUAUCGCAAUGAAUGAUCACCACAGCAAUAUACGUAUGCUUGCCACGAUUGGUUGAGAAGAAAUAUAGACUCUGUGAAUGUAAACAGCUGAUUGGCGAACGCUGUCCAUGUUGAUCUAUGAAAAAAUCGCAACGGAUCUAGGAGUCACAGUUAUGGCGACUCGGUAAUCCAUGGCUCUGUUCCCCUCAUUAGGAAACUGGACGUAGAAGGUAGGUACCUGUCUACCGGCCGGCUUGCCUGCUGCGAAACAUCCAGACGCCAAAGAGCUAGCUUCCACCCUGAAAUUAUUACAAGUAACUCUCCCUCAGAAAGCUUUUUCUUCUUUUCCUUUAUAAAAGAAAAACGAAGAACGUAAAAAAUCAUUCAUCAAAAUAAGAAUAACUAUUUUGUCAAAUAAAAUUAUAUUUUCCUAUAUUUCUGCAUCGUUCUUGUCUAUCAUAAUGGA